rnacentral:lncRNA from 1 species
GAGAAAAAUAAUAAUUUAGUUAUUAAAUGAAGUAUUCUGUUCUGACUGCUUACUGGAGACUAUGGUGGUAUAAUUUAGGAUAAAUGAAGCUAUGAUAAGUGUAGCACAUCCUUCUGGAGUAUCAUUUUUACCAAAUGGGAGAAAUAUCCUUAUAUUUACAAAUGUAACCAAGCAUGAUUGUCUUCGCUUAUCAAAAUGGUACAACUCCGAUUAG